UUAAGUUAAUAAGGGCGCACGGUGGAUGCCUUGGCACUAGGAGCCGACGAAGGACGUGACAAACGACGAUAUGCCUUGGGUAGCUGUAAGUAAGCGAUGAUCCAGGGAUUUCCGAAUGGGGGAACCCAACAGGUAAUACCUGUUACCUACAUCUGUUAAGGAUGUGAGGAGGAAGACGCAGUGAACUGAAACAUCUAAGUAGCUGCAGGAAGAGAAAGCAAAAGCGAUUGCCUUAGUAGCGGCGAGCGAAACGGCAGAAGGGCAAACCGAAGAGUUUACUCUUCGGGGUUGUAGGACUGCAAUGUGGACUCAAAGAUUAUAGAAGAAUGAUUUGGGAAGAUCAGCCAAAGAGAGUAAUAGCCUCGUAUUUAAAAUAGUCUUUGUACUUAGCAGUAUCCUGAGUACGGCGGGACACGUGAAAUCCCGUCGGAAUCUGGGAGGACCAUCUCCCAACCCUAAAUACUCCCUAGUGACCGAUAGUGAACCAGUACCGUGAGGGAAAGGUGAAAAGCACCCCGGGAGGGGAGUGAAAUAGAACCUGAAACCGUGUGCCUACAACAAGUUCGAGCCCGUUAAUGGGUGAGAGCGUGCCUUUUGUAGAAUGAACCGGCGAGUUACGUUAUGAUGCGAGGUUAAGUUGAAGAGACGGAGCCGUAGGGAAACCGAGUCUGAAUAGGGCGCCUUAGUAUCAUGACGUAGACCCGAAACCAUGUGACCUACCCAUGAGCAGGUUGAAGGUGCGGUAAGACGCACUGGAGGACCGAACCAGGGCACGUUGAAAAGUGCUUGGAUGACUUGUGGGUAGCGGAGAAAUUCCAAACGAACUUGGAGAUAGCUGGUUCUCUCCGAAAUAGCUUUAGGGCUAGCGUCGACAUUAGAGAUUCUUGGAGGUAGAGCACUGUUUGGGUGAGGGGUCCAUCCCGGAUUACCAAUCUCAGAUAAACUCCGAAUGCCAAUGAAUUAUGGUCGGCAGUCAGACUGCGAGUGCUAAGAUCCGUAGUCGAAAGGGAAACAGCCCAGACCACCAGCUAAGGUCCCAAAAUAAUUGUUAAGUGGAAAAGGAUGUGGGGUUGCACAGACAACUAGGAUGUUAGCUUAGAAGCAGCUAUUCAUUCAAAGAGUGCGUAAUAGCUCACUAGUCGAGUGACCCUGCGCCGAAAAUGUACCGGGGCUAAAACAAUUUACCGAAGCUGUGGAUACCUUUAUAGGUAUGGUAGGAGAGCGUUCUAUGUGUGAUGAAGGUAUACCGUGAGGAGUGCUGGAACGCAUAGAAGUGAGAAUGCCGGUAUGAGUAGCGAAAGACAGGUGAGAAUCCUGUCCACCGUAAGACUAAGGUUUCCAGGGGAAGGCUCGUCCGCCCUGGGUUAGUCGGGACCUAAGGAGAGACCGAAAGGUGUAUCCGAUGGACAACAGGUUGAUAUUCCUGUACUAGAGUAUGUAGUGAUGGAGGGACGCAGUAGGCUAACUAAAGCAGACGAUUGGAAGAGUCUGUCUAAGCAGUGAGGUGUGAAUUGAGUCAAAUGCUUAAUUCUAUAACAUUGAGCUGUGAUGGGGAGCGAAGUUUAGUAGCGAAGUUAGUGACGUCACACUGCCAAGAAAAGCUUCUAGCGUUUAAACAUACUCUACCCGUACCGCAAACCGACACAGGUAGUCGAGGCGAGUAGCCUCAGGUGAGCGAGAGAACUCUCGUUAAGGAACUCGGCAAAAUGACCCCGUAACUUCGGGAGAAGGGGUGCUGACUUUAAGUCAGCCGCAGUGAAUAGGCCCAAGCAACUGUUUAUCAAAAACACAGCUCUCUGCUAAAUCGUAAGAUGAUGUAUAGGGGGUGACGCCUGCCCGGUGCUGGAAGGUUAAGAGGAGUGCUUAGCGUAAGCGAAGGUAUGAAUUGAAGCCCCAGUAAACGGCGGCCGUAACUAUAACGGUCCUAAGGUAGCGAAAUUCCUUGUCGGGUAAGUUCCGACCCGCACGAAAGGCGUAAUGAUUUGGGCACUGUCUCAACGAGAGACUCGGUGAAAUUUUAGUACCUGUGAAGAUGCAGGUUACCCGCGACAGGACGGAAAGACCCCAUGGAGCUUUACUGCAGUUUGAUAUUGAGUGUCUGUACCACAUGUACAGGAUAGGUAGGAGUCUAAGAGAUCGGGACGCCAGUUUCGAAGGAGACGCUGUUGGGAUACUACCCUUGUGUUAUGGCCACUCUAACCCAGAUAGGUGAUCCCUAUCGGAGACAGUGUCUGACGGGCAGUUUGACUGGGGCGGUCGCCUCCUAAAAGGUAACGGAGGCGCCCAAAGGUUCCCUCAGAAUGGUUGGAAAUCAUUCGCAGAGUGUAAAGGUAUAAGGGAGCUUGACUGCGAGAGCUACAACUCGAGCAGGGACGAAAGUCGGGCUUAGUGAUCCGGUGGUUCCGUAUGGAAGGGCCAUCGCUCAACGGAUAAAAGCUACCCUGGGGAUAACAGGCUUAUCUCCCCCAAGAGUUCACAUCGACGGGGAGGUUUGGCACCUCGAUGUCGGCUCGUCGCAUCCUGGGGCUGUAGUCGGUCCCAAGGGUUGGGCUGUUCGCCCAUUAAAGCGGCACGCGAGCUGGGUUCAGAACGUCGUGAGACAGUUCGGUCCCUAUCCGUCGCGGGCGUAGGAAAUUUGAGAGGAUCUGCUCCUAGUACGAGAGGACCAGAGUGGACUUACCGCUGGUGUACCAGUUGUCUUGCCAAAGGCAUCGCUGGGUAGCUAUGUAGGGAAGGGAUAAACGCUGAAAGCAUCUAAGUGUGAAACCCACCUCAAGAUGAGAUUUCCCAUGAUUAUAUAUCAGUAAGAGCCCUGAGAGAUGAUCAGGUAGAUAGGUUAGAAGUGGAAGUGUGGCGACACAUGUAGCGGACUAAUACUAAUAGCUCGAGGACUUAUCC
rnacentral:rRNA from 1 species